rnacentral:rRNA from 1 species
GACGAACGCUGGCGGCGUGCCUAAUACAUGCAAGUAGAACGCAGUUGCGAACGGGUGAGUAACGCGUAGGUAACUGCCUCAUAGCGGGGGAUAACUAUUGGAAACGAUAGCUAAUACCGCAUACUGUGAGAUGGACCUGCGUUGUAUUAGCUAGUUGGUGAGGUAAAGGCUGACCAAGGCGACGAUACAUAGCCGACCUGAGAGGAGAGUAGAGAACACUGGUAGUGUGACACGGCGCAGAAGCCUACGGGAGGCAGCAGGAGGGAAUCGUAGGCAAUGGAAGACAGUCUGAACGAGCAACGCCGCGUGAGUGAAGACGGUGUUCAGAUAGUAAAGCUCUGUUUUUAGAGAAGCGUUAACUAAUCAGAAAAGGACGGCUAACUACGUGCCAGCAGCCGCGGUAAUAC